rnacentral:rRNA from 1 species
AAAUGAAUUGACGGGGGCCCGCACAAGCGGAGGAACAUGUGGUUUAAUUCGAUGAUACGCGAGGAACCUUACCUGGGCUUAAAUGUAGAGUGCAUGUCGUGGAAACACGCUUCCCUUCGGGGCUCUUUACAAGGUGCUGCAUGGUUGUCGUCAGCUCGUGCCGUGAGGUGUCGGGUUAAGUCCCAUAACGAGCGCAACCCUUACCGUUAGUUGCCAGCGGGUCAAGCCGGGGACUCUAGCGGGACUGCCACCGUAAGGUGAGAGGAAGGUGGGGAUGACGUCAAAUCAGCACGGCCCUUAUGUCCAGGGCUACACACGUGUUACAAUGGCCGGUACAGAGGGCAGCUACCUGGUGACAGGGUGCCAAUCCCGAAAGCCGGUCUCAGUUCGGAUCGAAGUCUGCAACCCGACUUCGUGAAGCUGGAUUCGCUAGUAAUCGCGCAUCAGCCAUGGCGCGGUGAAUACGUUCCCGGGCCUUGUACACACCGCCCGU